AUUGAACGCUGGCGGCAGGCCUAACACAUGCAAGUCGAGCGGAUGAAGGGGGCUUGCUCCUGGAUUCAGCGGCGGACGGGUGAGUAAUGCCUAGGAAUCUGCCUGGUAGUGGGGGAUAACGUCCGGAAACGGGCGCUAAUACCGCAUACGUCCUGAGGGAGAAAGUGGGGGAUCUUCGGACCUCACGCUAUCAGAUGAGCCUAGGUCGGAUUAGCUAGUUGGUGGGGUAAAGGCCUACCAAGGCGACGAUCCGUAACUGGUCUGAGAGGAUGAUCAGUCACACUGGAACUGAGACACGGUCCAGACUCCUACGGGAGGCAGCAGUGGGGAAUAUUGGACAAUGGGCGAAAGCCUGAUCCAGCCAUGCCGCGUGUGUGAAGAAGGUCUUCGGAUUGUAAAGCACUUUAAGUUGGAAGGAAGGGCAGUAAGUUAAUACCUUGCUGUUUUGACGUUACCAACAGAAUAAGCACCGGCUAACUUCGUG
rnacentral:rRNA from 1 species